GUACUGGAAGGCCGCAAUGAGGUCUCCCUGGAGCCUUCUCUUCUCCAAGCUGAACAAUCCCAGUUCCCUCAACCUUUCCUCAUAGGAGAGGUGCUCCAGCCCUCUGAUCCUUUCAGUGUCCAGGCAUUGGUAGACAUCCUGCUGUGGAGGGGAUAGCUGGUAUGGUGGGCUGUGACCCCAUAUCUCCAGCACCGGGUGGAUUGACACAGCAAGCUUGCUUUAAAUGCCCCCACAGGAAUGGUGUUCACUUUUCCCAAGCCAAAAUUUAUGCUCUUGUGAUGAGGACCAGAGAUGUGAAAGGAAAGGGUAGGCCAGAGAGGAGGCAGGGGAAUACAGGGAAACCGGAGCUGAUUACACACUGGCAGAAGAGUAAUAAUGUCUCCACCUGGCAAUGUGACAGGGAUCAUCUUUUAACCGCAGCCAGGAUGAGGGAGACUGUUGCAAAGGACUGACUCAAGCUGUUUUCUUCCAGACUUAAACCUGGCCAGGUGCAAAAACAGGAAUGCCUAUCACAAACCCAGAUGCCUUGAGUCUUAUGGUCUUACGGUCCCACGUACAUCAUCUCACCAGAAGACUAGGACUCACAUCUGAGUCUCCUUCAAUCAGCUUUCCCGGACCACAGUGAAGAAAUUGGGCCAGCCUCUGUGUUACCAUCACAUCCAUCCACCUCUGCACAUAGCAAUACCUGCAACAGCCUGCUCCAGCCCCUGAUCCUCUUCCAAGGUACCACAAGCAAGGGAAGGGCAAUCAGCAAUAUUUCCUUUGCAAAGCCUGAAAGAACCGGGAGCAGAUUGUGACAGCGACAGUCACGGCCUCCCAGGUUGCUCCCUCCUUAGGUCAUGUGCUGCCCCUGACCUAGGGCAAAGUCACGGCUAAG
ensembl:lncRNA